CGCGCUCCUCACAAUUAGUUUGUUUAUUAAUUGAGCAUGUGGCCGUCACAAGGAUGACGUAACACCAGCAGUUACGGGACUUAGUCAAUAACUGCAAAAUGGUGU
rnacentral:sRNA from 1 species